rnacentral:rRNA from 1 species
AGUGAACGCUGGCGGUAGGCCUAACACAUGCAAGUCGAACGGCAGCACAGUAAGAGCUUGCUCUUACGGGUGGCGAGUGGCGGACGGGUGAGGAAUACAUCGGAAUCUACUUUUUCGUGGGGGAUAACGUAGGGAAACUUACGCUAAUACCGCAUACGACCUACGGGUGAAAGCAGGGGAUCUUCGGACCUUGCGCGAUUGAAUGAGCCGAUGUCGGAUUAGCUAGUUGGCGGGGUAAAGGCCCACCAAGGCGACGAUCCGUAGCUGGUCUGAGAGGAUGAUGAGCCAAAAGAGAAGAGGAGAAGGGUCAAGACUCCUAGGGGGGGCAAGAGGGGGGAAAAUGGAACAAUGGGCACAAUCAUGCACCACCAAUCCCGCGUGGGUGAAGAAGCCAUUGGGUUUAUAAACCCCUUUUUUUGGAAAAGAAAGGCAGAGGGUAAAAACCCCCCUGUUCAAACGGUACCCAAAGAAUAAGCCCCGGCUAACUUCG